rnacentral:rRNA from 1 species
AUGAACGCUGGCGGCGUGCCUAAUACAUGCAAGUCGAGCGAACAGACGAGGAGCUUGCUCCUCUGACGUUAGCGGCGGACGGGUGAGUAACACGUGGAUAACCUACCUAUAAGACUGGGAUAACUUCGGGAAACCGGAGCUAAUACCGGAUAAUAUAUUGAACCGCAUGGUUCAAUAGUGAAAGACGGUUUUGCUGUCACUUAUAGAUGGAUCCGCGCCGCAUUAGCUAGUUGGUAAGGUAACGGCUUACCAAGGCAACGAUGCGUAGCCGACCUGAGAGGGUGAUCGGCCACACUGGAACUUAGACACGGUCCAGACUCCUACGGGAGGCAGCAGUAGGGAAUCUUCCGCAAUGGGCGAAAGCCUGACGGAGCAACGCCGCGUGAGUGAUGAAGGUCUUCGGAUCGUAAAACUCUGUUAUUAGGGAAGAACAAAUGUGUAAGUACCUAUGCACGUCUUGACGGUACCUGAUCAGAAAGCCACGGCUAACUACGUG